GAAGGCCUUCGGGUUGUAAGACUGCUUUUGUACGGAACGAAAAGGUUUGACUUAAUACGUUGGACUCAUGACGGUACCGUAAGAAUAAGCACCGGCUAACUACGUGCCAGCAGCCGCGGUAAUACGUAGGGUGCGAGCGUUAAUCGGAAUUACUGGGCGUAAAGCGUGCGCAGGCGGUUAUGUAAGACAGAUGUGAAAUCCCCGGGCUCAACCUGGGAACUGCAUUAGUGACUGCAUAGCUGGAGUACGGCAGAGGGGGAUGGAAUUCCGCGUGUAGCAGUGAAAUGCGUAGAUAUGCGGAGGAACACCGAUGGCGAAGGCAAUCCCCUGGGCCUGUACUGACGCUCAUGCACGAAAGCGUGGGGAGCAAACAGGAUUAGAUACCCUGGUA
rnacentral:rRNA from 1 species